rnacentral:lncRNA from 1 species
UACUACAGAGGCUCCCGUACUAUAGCCUCGUUUUCAAACUUACGGUUUUCAAAACAAUGAUCCACAUAGUUAAAACUGAUCUAGAGUAUUUAAAUUUUUAGAAAUAAAAUUUUAUAUUUUUUCGACAUACUUUACUUUAUGAUCAAAUCAUUUUAAACUUAUCAAUUUUCAAUGACUACUAUGACGAGUUUGUAGUUUAACGGUGUAAAAAAAUCUAAAUUUAUUCAAAUUUUAAUAGAAAAUACUUUAAACUAUUUAGAUUAAGAUCAGCCUCCUUAAUUUGAAUUUAAAAAUCCUAUCCUCAAAUUUUAAAUAUUGCUCAAUUUUUCUCGUCUAUUUUGACAUUACUUACUAACUCAACAAUGUUUUUAUAUACCCUAUAUCAUAUUUGACGGUAUAGAUCAUUGAUUUGGCCAUCCUAAGAUCAAAAAUGAGACUAUAAUACCGAAGCUAAGAUAGU